UAUAGCGGGGGGCAAACCGGGAGAAGUGAAACAUCUCAGUAACCCGAGGAAAAGACAUCAAUAGAGAUUCCCCUAGUAGCGGCGAGCGAACGGGGAGGAGCCGACUGAUUAUAAUUUAGAGGAAUGACUUGGAAAGGUCAAUCGUAGAGGGUGAUAAUCCCGUACUCGAAAGGUUAUAA
rnacentral:rRNA from 16 species